AUUAGUGGCAUAUCUAGUUUACAGCGCGCGGUGGUUCCCGUUUCCGUGGGAAUGCCGGGAUAAAAUUUAGCCUACAUUACUGCAAAGAUUCCUUCAAACCAAUCUUAUAA